UGAAAGGAGAGCUGGGGAUGGAUGGA
rnacentral:piRNA from 1 species